GUCCAAGGAGCGCGUCUCAGAGGGACCUGGACCCCGGGCGCCCUGGUAAAUGGACUCUUAAUGAAAAUUCAGAAAUACAUUUUUUAAAUAGAAGACAAUAAAAAUUACCAAUAAUCCUACCACCCGAGAUGGCCGUAUUUUGAAUCCUGCUUGUCUGAAAUGCAGUUAACACAUCAGCUGGACCUAUUUCCCGAAUGCAGGGUGACCCUUCUGUUAUUUAAAGAUGUAAAAAAUGCUGGAGACUUGAGAAAAAAGGCCAUGGAAGGUGCUAUUGAGGGUUUAUUAAUAAACCGUAAGGUGAUUGUUGAUCCAUUUCAGAUACUUGUGGCAGCAAACAAAGCAGUUCAUCUCUACAAACUGGGAAAAAUGAAGACAAGAACUCUAUCAACUGAAAUUAUUUUCAACCUUUCCCCAAAUAACAGUAUUUCAGAAGCUUUGAAAAAAUUUGGUAUCUCAGCAAAUGACACUUCAAUUCUUAUUGUUUACAUUGAAGAGGGAGAAAAACAAAUAAAUCAAGAAGACCUAAUAUCUCAGGUUGAAGGUCAUCAAGUUUCUCUAAAAAACCUUCCUGACAUAACAAAUAUUACAGAAGUCAAAAAGAUAUAUAAACUAUCUUCACAAGAAGAAAGUAUUGGAACAUUAUUGGAUGGUAUCAUUUGUAGAAUGUCAACAAAAGAUGUUUUGUGAAAUGACAGAAGUCUUAAAAAUUUUCAGCAUUUAUAAAAAAACAUGGAUUUUUCUUUGUUGAUUAUAAUAUGUUCAAUCAUAGAAAACACAGAAUGGUACAACAAAGAAAAAAAGCCACUACUAGUCUCUCUUAAUAU